CAGCUGAGCCAGACUGAUGAUACAUAAUAAAACCUGUUGAUUUGUGUCCACAGAAGGUGCUGACAGCGCCUCUGAACAAGGUACUGAAGAGAAUGUAGCUGAAAGUACCGACGUCAGCUCUGUUUCUAGUGAAUCUGCCUCUCAAGAUAUCGCUGGCACUGACUCGGAUUCCAGUGAAUCUGCUUCUGAAGAUACCGCUGGCACUGACACUGACUCGGAUUCCAGUGAAUCUGCUUCUGAAGAUACCGCUGGCACUGACACUGACUCGGAUUCCAGUGAAUCUGCUUCUGAAGAUACCGCUGGCACUGACACUGACUCGGAUUCCAGUGAAUCUGCUUCUGAAGAUACCGCUGGCACUGACACUGACUCGGAUUCCAGUGAAUCUGCUUCUGAAGAUACCGCUGGCACUGACACUGACUCUGACUCCAGUGAAUCUGCUUCUGAAGACAAAGCUGGCACUGACAAUACCCCUGAAGCUAGCUCUGAAUCUACUGAUGCUGACGAUGAAUCUACUGACACUGAAUCUACUGACGCUGCCCCUGAAUCUACUGAUGCUAGCUUUGACUCUACUGACGCUGACACUGACGCUGACACUGAAUCUUCUGACUUUGGCGCUGAAUCUACUUAUGCUGACGCUGAAUCUACUGACACUGGUGCUGAAUCUACUGAUGCUGACGAUGAAUCUACUGAUACUGAAUCUACUGACGCUGCCGCUGAAUCUACUGAUGCUAGCUUUGACUCUACUGACGCUGACACUGAAUCUUCUGACGUUGGCGCUGAAUCUACUGAUGCUGAUGCUGAAUCUACUGAUGCUGACGAUGAAUCUACUGAUGCUGCCACUGACGCUAGCUCUGAGGCUGACGCUAAAGCUGAUGCUAACAUACCUACAGAGAAAGACGACAGCACGGACAAUGAAAGCCCAGAAGAGGGGGGGGGGACAGUGGGUGAGUUGUCAACUAAGGGGGAGGGACAGAGGGAAGAGAGUGGAAAGAUGGGGGAUGAGACGUCACAGGAAUCAGAUGAGGAGGGAGGUGACACAGAAGAUAAAAUGCUAGAGGGAAAAGAAUCGGCAGAGGAGGAGCUGGACGAGGUCACAGAGGAGAAGGAAAGCAGAGAAAAUGACGACAGCAAUGAAAGCAGAGAGGAGGGGGGGGAGAUAGGGGGGGAGUCACUGGCAGAGGGGGAGGAGGUGCAGGAAGGAGGUAACAUUGGAGAUGAGGAGUCAAAGGAAUCAGAAGACGAGAGGGACAUGAUGGAGGGAGACGACAUAAAAGAUGAUACAUCAGAGGACAAAGAUUCAGCAGAGCUGGACGAGAUUUUAGAAGAGAAAGAAAGCGAAGAAAAUUACGACAGCGCGGUCAAUAAAACAGAUGGAAACCAGACAAAUGCUGAGAGUAGUGAAGAGGAGCCUCAAAGAGUCCUUGACAUGCCGGACCCUAACACCACGGAGAAGGAUGAGAGGAUCCUGGACAACUCUGUAAACACGGAUACUGAGGUAUCUGAAGAACAGAGUCCAGAAACGGAAGCUCCAUCUGCUGACCAACAAUCGGACCAAACUGUGAACUCCACUACCGCCGCCGCCGCCGAGCCAAGCCCACAGUGGAAUACAGUUGCUAUGACAACCAUAAGCAACCAACAACCAUAAGCUGAACUGCAACUAAACUUCAACCUUCAACUUCCUGUUUGUGUUUACUCCUCCGCUCGCUCCUGAUUGAUUGGCUCCAUCCUUCUAAAUCUCCACCUGUCUGUCUGCCUGUCUGUGUGUGUGUGUGUCUGUCUGUCUACCUGUCUGUCUGUCUUUCUGUCUGUCUUUCUGUGUGUCUGCCUACCUGUCUGUCUAUCUGUCUGCCUGUCUGUCUGCCUGUCUGUCUGCAGAAACAUUUAACCAGCUGCUGUUCUGAGAUCUAUAUUCACACAUUAACGUGUACAUACUGCUAAUAAAGUUUAAAUUGUCAAACCUUCUGUCACUGCUCACCUAGUCCCUGAGUCUUUAAUAUAAUGAAAAACAGACAUAUUGAUCUGAA
ensembl:lncRNA